rnacentral:ncRNA from 1 species
UUGAUGGAGCUAACAGCGAGCUACGGCAGCAGUUGGGAUGGUCAGGACACCACGAGAUGUUGCUCCAGUCUCGUGCCACUGUCGGAUGCAUUAAGGGUAGCGGAAACGUGAAGGUGUGCAUUCCACAACAAGCUAUUUCAACAGUCACGAGGGGCACCUUACUCCGAAAGGA